AUUGCAGGCUGCAACUCGCCUGCAUGAAGUCGGAAUUGCUAGUAAUCGCAAAUCAGCAUGCUGCGGUGAGUACGUUCCCGGGCCUUGUACACACCGCCCGUCACACCAUGGGAGUCGGUAACACCCGAAGUCGGUAGCCUAACCGUAAGGAGGGCGCCGCCGAAGGUGGGAUUGAUGACUGGGGUGAAGUCGUAACAAGGUACC
rnacentral:rRNA from 1 species